GUUUGCCUUGGCAGAAAUAUACUAAAAUUAGAACUAUACAGAGAAGAUUAACAUGGUCCCUGUGCAAGGAUGACAUGCAAAUUUGUGAAGCAUUCUAUACUUUU
ensembl:snRNA U6 U6 spliceosomal RNA